AGACUCUCGGCAACGGAUAUCUCGGCUCUUGCAUCGAUGAAGAACGUAGCGAAAUGCGAUACUUGGUGUGAAUUGCAGAAUCCCGUGAACCAUCGAGUCGUUGAACGCAAGUUGCGCCCGACGCCAUCAGGUCGAGGGCACGCCUGCCUGGGUGUCGCACAUC
rnacentral:rRNA from 1 species